UACGGGGGGGGCAAGCGUUGUUCGGAAUUACUGGGCGUAAAGGGUUCGUAGGUGGCCCGCUAAGUCACACGUGAAAUCCCUCAGCUUAACUGGGGAACUGCGUCUGAUACUGGAAGGCUUGAGUUCGGGAGAGGAAUGUGGAAUUCCAGGUGUAGCGGUGAAAUGCGUAGAUAUCUGGAGGAACACCGGUGGCGAAGGCGGCAUUCUGGACCGAAACUGACGCUGAGGCGCGAAAGCCAGGGGAGCAAACGGG
rnacentral:rRNA from 1 species